GACGAACGCUGGCGGCGUGCCUAAUACAUGCAAGUAGAACGCUGAAGGAGGAGCUUGCUCUUCUGGAUGAGUUGCGAACGGGUGAGUAACGCGUAGGUAACCUGCCUGGUAGCGGGGGAUAACUAUUGGAAACGAUAGCUAAUACCGCAUAAAAUUGAUUAUUGCAUGAUAGUCAAUUAAAAGGUGCAAUUGCAUCACUACCAGAUGGACCUGCGUUGUAUUAGCUAGGUGGUGAGGUAACGGCGCACCAAGGCAACGAUACAUAGCCGACCUGCUAGGGGGAUCGGACACCCUGGGAGGGAGACACGGCACAUACUGCUACGGGAGGUAGCCGGAGGGAAUCUUCGGAAAGGGGCGGAAGUCAGACCAAACAACGCCGAGUCCGGAAAGAAGGUUUUCGGAUCCUAGAGCUCUGUUGUAAGAGAAGAACCAGCGUGAGAGUGGAAAGUGCACUCUGUGACGGUAUCUUACCAGAAAGCAACGGCUAACUACGUG
rnacentral:rRNA from 1 species